rnacentral:rRNA from 1 species
AACGUAGGUGGCGAGCGUUAUCCGGAUUUACUGGGCGUAAAGGGUGUGCAGGCGGGCGACCAAGUGGUGUAUGAAAUCUCCCAGCUAAACUGGGAUAGGUUAUGCCAGACUGGUGGUCUAGAGUGCGAGAGAGGGGCGUGGAAUUCCGGGUGUAGUGGUGAAAUGCGCAGAUAUCAGGAGGAACACCGGUGGCGAAGGCGGGUCUCUGGGCAGUAACUGACGCUGAGGAGCGAAAGCGUGGGGAGCGAACAGG